CUUCCCUGAGACGCUGAUAGCCCAGCCAGGCUUCCUUGUCUGGGCCCAAUCUCGAUGACUGAAUCCUCAUCAUAUAGACACAUGAGUGCGCUCCCCUGAACACAGCCGGGCUAACCUGAACCUCAUUGGUGCUAGAAUAAAUGAGUUGCUGAGGACACAUUCGUCUAUCCGUGUGACAGUUGUAAAGACAUAUUUCUUCCUCACCUACGAGGACUGUAGUACAGAUGGAAUUGAUGGUUUGAGAAAUAGAGGAAAAAUGUUCAGUCUGAAUGGAGCCAUGUAUCUAGAACCAAUGUCCUGAGCUGGGAAUGGCUCUCAGACUCAACGUUUCUUGAGGGGAGUUUCAAACUCCAGCACAAAGACAAGAAAAUAAAUACAAAUGUGAAAUAUAUUCCCUCCUCCAUUCACAAAAUGCCGCGUGACAGAACCGUCCUCUCAGUUAAAACCUUUUGUGUUCCAGUGUUGGCAGAUUGAAAGGCAGUGACCUACAGAUGCAAGAAAAUCCCACAUGUCACAAUAAAGAGACCGGAAAAUAUUUCCAAGUGCACAGAUAGACUGGGGGAAAGUCCUUCAGAUCAGGGAUGCAGGGUUUAACAUAGAAUACACAUGGAAAUCUGAAAGCUAAAAUGAAGGUACUAGGAUCACAAGAAGCUAAGGGGUAUGUAUUCAUUUUAUUUGAUCUUGACCCAAGACCAUGACAUGGUGCCAUGCACAUUCAGAUUGUACCUUCAUCUCAAUUAAACCUCACUGGGAGCCCCCUCAUAGCAAUGCCCAUGGACAUGUCUUGUUCAUCAGAGAACCUUCCUUUGCAUCGGAUGACAGUCAACAGAUGCACUCUCGAACGGUCAAAGUGCAGAACACACUUAACGGCGGAGUGCUCAGCCCUAACUAACGUCUGCAUUAGAUCUCUUCACUCCGAGACUCUGAGAACACCACAGAGGAGCCGCCAUCAUGGUUUGAAGAGACAGAGACAGUGGAGGGCUUGUGUGAGAGAGUGUCUUCUGGGCAUGAAAGGGCUCUUACAUCUGAGCUUUCAAGAUAGGAUUGCCCGAGUAGGAUGUGCACCAGAUUCCUCAAAGAUCAAAGAUGGGAGGGACUCCUGAGCUACCACCCUCUCUGGAGUACUAUUGGUGGUUCAUGAAUGCUGGCGUGACUGGAAUCAUUUCUCUUUGGAAGCACGGUCAUUGAUAGGUUUUCCACACUGUCAUGGAUUGCCCCAUGUCUAUGUGCAGGAAUCUACCUUUGUUUUUCUGCUUUAAAUAUUCAGUUUUCCAUAUGAAUGUCUCUGGGUUUUGGUUCCUCCGUAAUUCUUUCACUAGAGUUUUUGUUGUGGAGGGUUUCACUGCUUCAGUUACACUCAUUUCUACCUAUUUUACUGGGAUGAAUUUUACUGCUACUGCUGUUGUUUUUGUCCUUCCCCUCCCCAGAAGUGGGGACAGAACCUAUGGCUUUGAGAAUGCCAGACAUGCGCUGUGCCACUGGGCUUCACUCCAGCCUAUUUAUUAUUUGAUCAGGGGCUAUGGUGAAUUUUUUUUAAUUGUUAGUGUGUUCGUGGUAUAUAAAAUGUUUCUAUUUGUUGCUUGUGUUUCCUAUGACUACUGAGUUUUUCUCUUCCAACACAUUUUAGUCAGUCUUCUCUGUAUAUAAAAUCUUCCCGCAAAAGAGGUUGAUCUGACACCCUCUUUUCUGAUCGAAAAUCUUAUUAUUAUUUUAUUCCUUUCUUCUGAUGAAUUUUCUUACAAAAUUUCCUUUUUCUGUUCCAAAUAAGAGGCAAAUGUAUGUGGACAUCUUUUUUUUUUUCAGAUCUCAGAGGAAACACCUUCAUCUUCUUUCACUUAGCACACAGAAGCAGUGGCUUUAUCAUAUCUAGACCUUUGUGUAGUGAGGUAUCUUCCUCCUACACUUAAUCUCUUCUGGCUUUUUUUUUCAUAAAAGCAUGUUUAACUUCAAUGAAUACUUUUACUGCACCCACUAAUGAAAUUACUUCGAUCCUCUCCUUUGCUGUUGUGAUAUAUUUUGACUUUCCAUUUGUGCGUGUUAAGCCAUCCUUGUAUCUCUGGAAUAAACUCUAUUUAACAAGGUACA